CAAGGCGAUCGUGCAGCGGCUCAUUGACGACGACGCCAGGCGCCAACGGCGACAUGGACACCGAGUACGCCAGCCCUCGCCGGUCGCCGCCACAAUCCGACAGCGCGUCCGGUGGAGGGGUUUCUUUUCCCCUCUCUUUGGAGAAUGCAUAUGUGCGUUUGUUGUGUUCAUAUUUUUGUGCAUUUGUGCUACUGAGAUUUUUGUACUACUCAUUGGCAUUCAGUCCAUAGGACUGAUUAAAUAUGAAAUAUAGGAUUUUCUUUUAUUGUUUUGCUUGGUAUAAUUACUGACUAGCUACUGUUUCACAGGGUUCUUCCAGCGAUCAAGUUGGUUACAGGUCAAAUAGUUCUCUGCAAAUACCAGAACCACAACAAAUCCAAGAAGAAGAAGAAGAUUACCAUGGCUGCAGAAAAUUGCACCUAAUGCAAGGAAGAAGCCAAGGAGCCACCUAAAUCAAAUAC
rnacentral:lncRNA from 1 species